AAAUUUGGAAAUCACACUAUUUUAGCAUUUACUCCAAAGGAGAUUUCUAGUGCCUUCUACCCAUUUUUGAGGUUUGUUUUUUUUUAAACUGGGUUAUAGACGUGCUUAUAUAUAUUGAUUAGAAAUUCUUUAUUAGAUAUGAUGUGUGUAUCCUUCUUUUCUCCCAGUCUGUGACUUAUCCAUUGUGUCCAGAGAGCAUUCUGUUAAUGAUAGGUUCAAUCAGGUAGUGGAAGUGUUUUGAAAUUCUUUGAGGAGUUUGAGAGCUACCCUUGUACCAUCAGGCUUCCAAGGUUAUGUUUAAACUCAACUGAAUUCCACCUUCCUGGAUGACUAAGAACAAACAUUUACCAUGUAAAUCAAAAACUGGUGAAGACUAUAAUCCUAUGUAUUUAAAAGAGUUGACCAUGACAACAUUUUAUAGAUUUAUGUGCUACAUACUAAACUGGUGUGUAGAUUACAAACACCUGUUUAUGGUAUGUCCAGUGGUGGUGUCAUUUACCUAAAGACUCAGUAGGCCAGAGUCAGUAUAAGUAGAUCCCUCAGUAGCCCACUGUCUAACUUCUUACUUUUAUGUUUCCAGUGAUGUUGAGGUUGAAAUUUCUCCUGCAAAGCCAUAGAUCAUAAACAUUACCAUAGGUAAAAAUUAAACUGUUUUUAUAGGUCUUAUACUAGCAUACUAGAGUGUUUAUUUUCAUACUCUCAAAACAGCAAAUUCCAGAAAUUUUAGUGGAUGAUAUUACUACUGUUUUUAUUUUAGCCUUUGAAAAUACUAUCAUGCUAGUUCGUAAGUUUAACUUUUUCACCCAAGUUACAACGGCUAGGAAACCUGCUCUAGUUAAAUUAAGAAGGGCUAACCAGAUUAUCACCGGAACAUGUAUUCUUUAUCAUAUAACGACCUUUAGCAGUGGACAUGUAUAAAAGAAAAUUCUAACUCUGAAAUAAGUAGAAAGGUAUCCUUACAACUGGAGAUUUUAUAAUUACAAAGUUUAACUUAAUGAAAACACAAAUACAAAAAUAUUUUCAAACUUAACUAAUCAUAGUGAAUAGACAUGCAAAAAAUUUCACUUUUUGAGGAAAGCAAUUUUCUUCAACUUCUUUAGACUUCAAGAUUCUUUAAGGGUAAUUUGACCUUUUCACCAAUCAAAUCACAUUGGCUGAGCUAUCAUCUGUAAAGUUGAAGAAUUACGAGGCACAAACACAAAAAUUUCUGCAUUUAUAUAGCAGCUCCUUAAGGUGUAAAAUGGGACUUGGGUAUUCUAACAGGCUGUACUUUGACAACUGGGGCAAAAUAAGUUAAUAGUGCAUCCCUCAGAGCCUUUCUGUACUCGAUUAAAUGGUAAACUUCAUCUUGGACUUAACAUCUUUAAACAGGUAAGUGUGUGUUGGGGUCAUAAACUGGGUAAAAAUCUAUCAUCCUACUAUUUGAAACGACAAGAUAUAUAACUGCUAUUACAAGAUUUAAAGUCCUCCAGUCAGGCUCUUUACACAUAGUCCCUUACACUCAAGUUCUCAUAAACACAAGCUAUGUAUACAAAGUCCCUUCCAUUCAAGUUCUACUGAUGCUUCAUCUACAAAAUUCAAAACUCUGUUCUCCUAUUCUGUGCAUAACUUACUCUGAAAUGUCACCAAAUGACAUUUUAAAGCCAGUGAAAUAGCAUGAUAAAAGUACUGAUUUUAUGCAGACAAAAAAUAUGUACGAUGUCAUUUAGUGAUGUGUUGAGUUGGAGUUUUGACAAAAUACACAAUUUAAAAUCGAGCCAAUGCUCCUUAAAAGACCUUGAUUAUUAUGUGACUAUUUCUGAGUGUAUCAACCUAUAUGACAAAUGGGGGGGGGUGAAGAUUAAAAAGAAGGCAAUUAUUUUAACACUGAAUCAACUGGUUAGAAUAAAACCUAUAUAAGCAAAUGUAACCAGAUUGCAUAUUUCUUCAGAAGUUGGAAGUUACAUGUUUUCUUAGUAAAACUAUGCAUCUGUUGAGUCAAAGAAAAAAAGGGUAAACAAAAAUAUUUUUUUAUUUUAACAUUGUGAACUUAUGCUACCCUCUCUCCUAACAACACAAUCUCUGACCAAGUUUUAACUGAGAAAUUACUCCCUAAGAAGCAAAUCCAGAAUUCCAUCACACUUCAUAGCAAAGAAUUACUAGUAGAGUUUGAUAGAAAAAUUCUUUAAUCAAAACAAGUUUACAAGUCAACAUGUGGCUUAACUAGAAUAAAUCUGCCCAAAUUUAAAUUGUUAGGGACCAAACGGAUAAUGAUGGGUUUAAUAUAAGAGCAAGAGUUCCCUCAAAAUAGUAAGUCCUAGUUUCAUUGGAAAACCUCACAAAAGCAGAACUCCAAUUAUUGAAAUAAAAAAAUUUUCAUCUAUAGAUGAAAUUAUCCAAAAGGUCAAACCUACAGUGCAUCUCACAUGCAAACACUGGUAUUAAGCCUUUCCCCCAUAUUCAUAGCUUCAAAACAUGAGAAGUCUUUUAGUGAAAACGCCAACUGACCUAAUAUUCAAAAUACCGUUUAAUUACUUAAAAUGUGUAUUGAUCUUGGUUCACCCUGAUUUAGUCCAUAUACAGACUAUCUACAUUGUCUACUGCCUCAGAGUAAUUGCUUCCACUUCUUUACAAUCCUGUCACAUGUAUGAUAUAAAAUGUAAGUUCCCUUCUGAUAUAACCUAGUUUCUUCCUUACAUAGUAUUUACUUUUAUUUAUUGUAUAAGCAUCAUGGAUUAUUCUUCCCCAAUUAAAAAAAUACUUGUGAUUUCCUUAAUAAGUGUGACUUAAAAAUUUUCAGAAACUCGAGACAUUUCUCAAAAAUAACAUUUUCUUUUAGUUUUCAGUUUUAGCUACUACUCCCUGCUGCCUGUAAAGAAUCUUACAUGGUUGAACCCAAAAGCCAGAUUCAUUACUACAUAUAUCCCAUUCUAAGCUCUGCUUUAGUCAUGUGAUGUUUACUGAAUUCCCUGCCACAAAACUAAAUUAAUUUCAAAUGUUAACAUAAAUUUUGUACCUCAGCAUUAUCAGUUCAGUAUCGGAUAUCUAGUUGUCAUAUAAAAAGGCAUACACACCACACAUUGUUACAAAGCAGCAGGAAAAUGUAACACAAUGUAGACUGAUUAAAAUUAACUUUUGAUAAAAGGAGUGAGUACUUGUAUAGAAGUAACAUUUUAUCUACCAAAAAAUGCAUAACUUCUACAAAACCCACAAACAGUGAAAAGACAGUCUGGUAAACCCAAGAUUUGUAAAAAAUGCACAAAACCCACGGUAUCUGGGGAAAGAGGAAGGUGUAUACAAGUAGCCGUUUUUAAAAUUUAACUUUUCUACUACCAAUUACACAUUAACACACUUACACACACACACA